rnacentral:rRNA from 1 species
GAAUUCGCCCUUAGAGUUUGAUCCUGGCUCAGGACGAACGCUGGCGGCGCGCCUAACACAUGCAAGUCGAACGAAGUUAGAGAGAGCUUGCUUUUUCUAACUUAGUGGCGAACGGGUGAGUAACGCGUGAGGAACCUGCCUCAAAGAGGGGGACAACAGUUGGAAACGACUGCUAAUACCGCAUAAGCCCACAGCUCCGCAUGGAGCAGGGGGAAAAGGAGCAAUCCGCUUUGAGAUGGCCUCGCGUCCGAUUAGCUAGUUGGUGAGGUAACGGCCCACCAAGGCGACGAUCGGUAGCCGGACUGAGAGGUUGAUCGGCCACAUUGGGACUGAGACACGGCCCAGACUCCUACGGGAGGCAGCAGUGGGGAAUAUUGCACAAUGGGGGAAACCCUGAUGCAGCGACGCCGCGUGGAGGAAGAAGGUCUUCGGAUUGUAAACUCCUGUUGUUGGGGAAGAUAAUGACGGUACCCAACAAGGAAGUGACGGCUAACUACGUGCCAGCAGCCGCGGUAAAACGUAGGUCACAAGCGUUGUCCGGAAUUACUGGGUGUAAAGGGAGCGCAGGCGGGAAGACAAGUUGGAAGUGAAAUCUAUGGGCUCAACCCAUAAACUGCUUUCAAAACUGUUUUUCUUGAGUAGUGCAGAGGUAGGCGGAAUUCCCGGUGUAGCGGUGGAAUGCGUAGAUAUCGGGAGGAACACCAGUGGCGAAGGCGGCCUACUGGGCACCAACUGACGCUGAGGCUCGAAAGUGUGGGUAGCAAACAGGAUUAGAUACCCUGGUAGUCCACACUGUAAACGAUGAUU